CACUCCAGCCUGGGCAACGAGCGAAACUCCGUCUCAAGAAAAAAAAUCAGGAGAGUUUAUGGGAAAAGCCUCACUUCCGACUUAUCUUGGAAACUGGAAGAUUUGGUGCAAAUUCCCUUAAGGCCAUAACUGGCUGAAACUGACCAUGGCACUGGGGACACGGCGUGGCCUGCCCCUGCCAGCCUGCUCUACGCCACCACAGCCAUGCACGAGUCCAACUCCUGCGUGGGAAUCGGCUGGAAUCCCUGGAGGGGGUCUGUCUUUUCACCACGGGGAGCUUCAGAAGUAAAUGCCCUGUCCAGUGGGGUAGGAUGAACGGCGGUGGGCAGGGCUCCCCCUGGAAACGGCCGUGAAAACAGACGGCUUGUUCUGCAAGAUGCUCUCGGUCGAGAGGGACUCACCAGGGGCUGCUGAGUGUCCCCAGGGUCUUUGCAGCGGUCCAGCCAGGGUUCUCUGAGAACACCCUGCGGUCAGCCACAGGGAACCAGGCUGUCUCCGAGGCUGACUGCGGGGCUGGGUGGGGCUGCUGUGGCCCUGGAGGUCUCUGAGGGGCUUUCACAGCAGUCCCUGGCACAGGACAGAUGAGUCCUUUGACUCCGGUCUUCUUCCCCGAAUACGGGAGACCUCCUAGGUUGGCCGGAAUGGAGUUCUUUUGACACAAGGCUACUUCUAAUUCCUGCGUUUGGAAAGUUCUCUGGGUUUUUGAGCACUGCUCAUAUUUGGACAACGGAUGUAUUUCAACAGAGCCUUAAAAGAACACGGCUGUUUUGGAGGUGAGGGGCUACCGAGUCCUUUUAGGGAGGGCAGAAAUUGGGGGCCCCUUCCAGGAUGACCAAGGACUUGUCAGUGGCACAGCACUAGGCACCGAGGAGCCUGCUGGUGAAAUUCUGCUCUGCUUCCCGGGGUCAUCUCUCAUCUCCUGGGGAAUUGCAAAGCCACGAUCUUGAUGGAGUCAUUUUGUCCUCAUCCCAGUGGAGCCACGAGCAAGGUGAGGGAGGCAGAGGAGAGAAACCCUUGUCUGCCGGUUGUGUGUGUGGAAGGUCUCUGCUUAGAGCUCGCACAUCCAUGGAGAGUCAGAAGUCAAGCCAGCCAGGACAGUGGGUGUGGGGGGUUGGAGGGAGCAUGUGUUGGUUCCUGCGUCCCUAAGAAGUCGCUGCAUGCCACGCCCUUCUGUCUGGUGCCUGAACUUCCACCCUG
rnacentral:lncRNA from 1 species